UCAACUUCUUCUCUUUUCUUCUCUAUCAAUAUUCAGUUUCCCCUUUUUUCUCUUCCUCAACUUCUCCUUUUUUCUUCUCCGUUUUUGUUUUUCCUCCUUUAUUCUUUUGCAUCCAUCCCGUUUUUGUUUCUCCUCCUUUAUUCUUUUGCGUCCGUCCAUAUUUUGUUUCACGUCAAUAUUCUAUUUUUUUUCCUUUUUUGUCUAAUUUUUUGUACUUUGAUUUUUAGGACAGUCUAACGACGGUGCUGAAGGUUACGAGGCUUUGCCCAUGGAAGAGUUGGGAUAGGCUACUAAAGAAUAAAGGCUAACGAUGGUGUUGAAGGUUACGACGCUUUGCCCAUGCAAGGGUUGCAACAAUAGGACUUGAGAGAAGGUGAAAAAACACAUUAAAGUUGCGAUUUUUAUCUCAAAAACUUCAUGGGUUCAGAGAAGGUGGAAGAAGACACUGAAGCUGCCAUUUUUUACUCCAAAAAGCUUCCAUUUUUAUCUGAUUUUUAUGUUAAAAGGUUUGUCUCCUUUGUUUCUCUGUCUACAUGUUCAUUUUCUUUGUUUCUUUGUUUCUCCAUCUUCCUUUUUCGUUCCUCUCCAUUCAUCUUCCUUCAUAUUCUGUUUUCUUUGUUUCUUUGUUUCUCUAACUUCCAUUUGCGUUCGUCUUCAUUCCUCUUCAUAUUCCGUUUUACUCCUAUUUUUGUUUUAGUUCCAUUUUUGUUUAUCUCGUUGCAUGUUAUUUGUUUUUUAUGAAUCGUUAUUGUAUGUAGAGAAGGUGGAAGGAGACACUAAAACUGCCAUUUUUAACUCCAAAAACCUUCGAUUUUUAUCUGAUUUUUUAUCUCAAACAGGAUUCUUUUCUUUGUUUCUCUAUCU